UAAAUCUAUUAUGUAAAUAUUUUUCUAGAGAUCACUGACGGGAACUUACACUCCUACUCUACAUAGAUAAGCAAAAAUAUUGAGGAGCAUAGGUUUCACUCAGUUCCAUAAGGAACCAAAUAAGUCUUUCACCUUAUUAUGCUUUGUUCAUCUUUGCCUUAUCACUACAGUCACAACUACAGAAGCAACUGAGUAUGGUGUUCCAGGUGAUAGAGUUUGACCCGUUUGACUGGCCAAAUCUUUCCUCAAGAUAUUUCCAUAACUCUUCAGUUGUCUUGGAGUAAAUGAUAAUGUUAGCAAUGUUCUUAGAGAGUGAAUUUUGUAACCAGUUGGUCAUCAUAUCAUUGCAUUUGUUUCAUGAUUACAAAUUUGAGCUAUUAGCAUCGGGAGCCUUCCAACUAGAAUUAUUUAAGUCUAGCUUAUUUUUAGCUGAGAGUGAGAUAAGGAUGGAUCUCGUCUAUCCUUUAUAGUCUUUUCAUUCAAAAGUGAAAUUCAACAAAGACUUUGUUGGAGAAUCAGAAGGAUGAAGGAAAUAGAAACUGUUUUGAUCCAAAACUUUGGAUAUUGUUGUAACAGAGUUGGAUUCAGUGGUCACACCAACCAUUGAAAAGGUUGAAGAAAAACUUGAGAGAGGAUAUUCAAUGGUGCUCUGAUACCUAAAAGAGAACA